rnacentral:rRNA from 1 species
UGGGCUCAACCCAGAAACUGCUUUGAAACUGUCGCCCUUGAGUAUCGGAGAGGUAGGCGGAUUCCUUGUGUAGCGGUGAAAUGCGUAGAUAUAAGGAAGAACACCAGUGGCGAAGGCGGCUGCUGGACGACAACUGACGCUGAGGCGCGAAAGCGUGGGGAGCAAACAGGAUUAGAUACCUGGUAGUCCACGCUGUAAACGAUGAAUACUAGGUGUGGGGGGACUGACCCCUUCCGUGCCCAGUUAACACAAUAAGUAUUCCACCUGGGGAGUACGAUCGCAAGAUUGAAACUCAAAGGAUUGACGGGGGCCCGCACAAGCAGUGGAUUAUGUGGUUUAAUUCGACGCAACGCGAAGAACUUACCAGGAUUUGACAUCCCACUAACGAAGUAGAGAUACAUUAGGUGCCCUUCGGGGAAAUGGAGACAGGUGGUGCAUGGUUGUCGUCAGCUCGUGUCGUGAGAUGUUGGGUUAAGUCCCCAACGAGCGCAACCCCUAUUGUUAGUUGCUACGCAAGAGCACUCUAGCGAGACUGCCGUUACAAAACGGAGGAAGGCGGGGACGACGUCAAAUCAUCAUGCCCCUUACGUCCUGGGCUACCACGUAAUACAAUGGUGGUAAACAAAGGGAAGCAAAGCCGCGAGGCAGAGCAAAUCCCCAAAGCCAUCUCAGUUCGGACUGCAGUCUGCAACUCGACUGCACGAAGUCGGAAUUGCUAGUAUCGCGGAUCAGCAUGCCGCGGUGAAUACGUUCCCGGGCCUUGCACACACCGCCCGUAA